AGAGUUUGAUCCUGGCUCAGGAUGAACGCUAGCGGCAGGCCUAACACAUGCAAGUCGAGGGGUAACAGGGAUUGCUUGCAAUCCGCUGACCACCGGCGCACGGGUGCGUAACGCGUAUACAAUCUACCUUUUGCUGAGGGAUAGCCCAGAGAAAUUUGGAUUAACACCUCAUGGUAUUAUUGAUUGGCAUCGAUUAAUAAUUAAAGGUUACGGCAAAAGAUGAGUAUGCGUCCUAUUAGCUAGAUGGUAAGGUAACGGCUUACCAUGGCAACGAUAGGUAGGGGCCCUGAGAGGGGGAUCCCCCACACUGGUACUGAGACACGGACCAGACUCCUACGGGAGGCAGCAGUGAGGAAUAUUGGGCAAUGGAGGCAACUCUGACCCAGCCAUGCCGCGUGCAGGAAGACUGCCCUAUGGGUUGUAAACUGCUUUUAUACAGGAAGAAACACUCCCUCGAGCAGGGAGCUUGACGGUACUGUAAGAAUAAGGAUCGGCUAACUCCGUGCCAGCAGCCGCGGUAAUACGGAGGAUCCAAGCGUUAUCCGGAAUCAUUGGGUUUAAAGGGUCCGUAGGUGGAUAAUUAAGUCAGAGGUGAAAUCCUGCAGCUCAACUGUAGAAUUGCCUUUGAAACUGGUUAUCUUGAGUCAUUAUGAAGUGGUUAGAAUGUGUAGUGUACCGGUGAAAUGCAUAGAUAUUACA
rnacentral:rRNA from 1 species